GACGAACGCUGGCGGCGUGCUUAACACAUGCAAGUCGAACGGAAAGGCCCUGCUUUUGUGGGGUGCUCGAGUGGCGAACGGGUGAGUAACACGUGAGUAACCUGCCCUUGACUUUGGGAUAACUUCAGGAAACUGGGGCUAAUACCGGAUAGGAGCUCCUGCUGCAUGGUGGGGGUUGGAAAGUUUCGGCGGUUGGGGAUGGACUCGCGGCUUAUCAGCUUGUUGGUGGGGUAGUGGCUUACCAAGGCUUUGACGGGUAGCCGGGCUGGGAGGGUGACCGGCCACAGUGGGCCUGGGGAGGCGCCCGGAGGGCAUCGUGGGGCAUGAGGGGAGCACUGAGCACGCAGGGCGGCGGGAGUAAGGAGCGUUGUCGGGUGGGGAAGCACUGUUGUCGGUUAAGAACCCGCGUUCGACUGUGACGUAGAGAGAGUGACGGUAGAUUAUAAGGAAGCGACGGCUAACUACGUG
rnacentral:rRNA from 1 species